rnacentral:rRNA from 1 species
ACAGACAGCCAGGAUGUUGGCUUAGAAGCAGCCAUCAUUUAAAGAAAGCGUAAUAGCUCACUGGUCGAGUCGGCCUGCGCGGAAGAUGUAACGGGGCUAAACCAUGCACCGAAGCUGCGGCAGCGACGCUUAUGCGUUGUUGGGUAGGGGAGCGUUCUGUAAGCCGUUGAAGGUGGCCUGUGAGGGUUGCUGGAGGUAUCAGAAGUGCGAAUGCUGACAUAAGUAACGAUAAUGCGGGUGAAAAGCCCGCACGCCGGAAGACCAAGGGUUCCUGUCCAACGUUAAUCGGGGCAGGGUGAGUCGACCCCUAAGGCGAGGCCGAAAGGCGUAGUCGAUGGGAAACAGGUUAAUAUUCCUGUACUUGGUGUUACUGCGAAGGGGGGACGGAGAAGGCUAUGUUAGCCGGGCGACGGUUGUCCCGGUUUAAGCAUGUAGGCGGGAAGUUUAGGUAAAUCCGGACUUCUUUUAACGCUGAGGUGUGAUGACGAGGCACUACGGUGCUGAAGUAACAAAUGCCCUGCUUCCAGGAAAAGCCUCUAAGCAUCAGGUAACAUCAAAUCGUACCCCAAACCGACACAGGUGGUCAGGUA